rnacentral:rRNA from 1 species
GACGAACGCUGGCGGCGUGCUUAACACAUGCAAGUCGAACGAUGAAAAAAGGAGCUUGCUCUUUUUGGAUUAGUGGCGAACGGGUGAGUAACACGUGAGUAAUCUGCCCCGGACUCUGGGAUAAGCGUUGGAAACGACGUCUAAUACCGGAUAUGAAGCGUGGAGGCAUCUUCUGCGUUUGGAAAGAUUUUUUGGUUUGGGAUGAGCUCGCGGCCUAUCAGCUUGUUGGUGAGGUAAUGGCUUACCAAGGCGACGACGGGUAGCCGGCCUGAGAGGGUGACCGGCCACACUGGGACUGAGACACGGCCCAGACUCCUACGGGAGGCAGCAGUGGGGAAUAUUGCACAAUGGGCGCAAGCCUGAUGCAGCAACGCCGCGUGAGGGAUGACGGCCUUCGGGUUGUAAACCUCUUUUAGUAGGGAAGAAGCGUAAGUGACGGUACCAAACCAGAAAGGGACGGCUAAAUACGUGCCAGCAGCCGCAGUAACAC